AUUGAACGCUGGCGGCAGGCUUAACACAUGCAAGUCGAGCGGAAACGAUGUAGCUUGCUACAGGCGUCGAGCGGCGGACGGGUGAGUAACGCGUAGGAAUCUGCCUAGUAGUGGGGGACAACAUGUGGAAACGCAUGCUAAUACCGCAUAAGCCCUACGGGGGAAAGGAGGGGAUCUUCGGACCUUUCGCUAUUAGAUGAGCCUGCGUGAGAUUAGCUAGUUGGUAGGGUAAAGGCCUACCAAGGCGACGAUCUCUAGCUGGUCUGAGAGGAUGACCAGCCACACUGGGACUGAGACACGGCCCAG
rnacentral:rRNA from 1 species